rnacentral:rRNA from 1 species
UACGGAAGGCAGCAGUGGGGAAUAUUGCACAAUGGGCGCAAGCCUGAUGCAGCCAUGCCGCGUGUAUGAAGAAGGCCUUCGGGUUGUAAAGUACUUUCAGCGGGGAGGAAGGCGAUGUGGUUAAUAACCGCGUCGAUUGACGUUACCCGCAGAAGAAGCACCGGCUAACUCCGUGCCAGCAGCCGCGGUAAUACGGAGGGUGCAAGCGUUAAUCGGAAUUACUGGGCGUAAAGCGCACGCAGGCGGUCUGUUAAGUCAGAUGUGAAAUCCCCGGGCUUAACCUGGGAACUGCAUUUGAACUGGCAGGCUUGAGUCUCGUAGAGGGGGUAGAAUUCCAGGUGUAGCGGUGAAAUGCGUAGAGAUCUGGAGGAAUACCGGUGGCGAAGGCGGCCCCUGGACGAAGACUGACGCUCAGGGUGCGAAAGCGUGGGGAGCAAACAGGAUUAGAUACC